rnacentral:lncRNA from 1 species
CCAAGUGCCUCAGAUGAGAAGAGUUUCUCAGUCUUCAAGGGUAAAAUAACAGUGUGGACACCAAAAGGCCAAAGAUGAAGUAUUGCUCUGUCACCCGGGCUGGAGUGCAGUGGCACAAUCUCGGCGCACUGCAACCUCCACCUCCUAGGUUCAAGCAAUUCUCCUGCCUCAGCCUCCCAAGUAGCUGGGAUUACAGGUGUUCUGUCCUACACCGGGAGGAAGAAAUGCUACACAGAGAGGCUGAGAAGAAUCUGAACAAACAGGCCUUGCUGGAUUUCCCCUUCAGUUUAUUGCCAUUUGCUUGCACUUUUUGUCGAAUCACAUUUCUACAUGGUGUUAACCAAACAUAAAAUACAGUUUUCCCUGGGUCUUUGCAUCUUCAUUUCUGAAGGUUCCCCUGUCACAUAAAAUGUUGAUUAAAUAAAUUUGUUACAUUUUUCCCUUGCUAAUCUGUCUUUUGUUAUAGGAGAGUUGGCUGUGACCCUUGUGAUGAAUGAGAAGAGGUAUUACCUUUUCACCCCUACACUCCCAUGGGUAUGUCCAGGGUUACACACAAUUCCUCACAUGCUAACUAAGACACCAUCCCACAAGAAAGCCUAUCAGUAGACAAUUGCAUGACACUGACAUUAUUAUAAUUGGAAACUUAAAUCUGUUGUAUAUAUUAAAUUGUGUUAAAAUACAUAUAACAUAAAGUUUACCAUCUUAACCAUUUUAAAAUGAACAGUUUGGUGGCUGGGCGUGGUGGCUCAUGCCUGUAAUCCCAGCAUUCUGGGAGGCCGAGGUGGGCGGAUCACGAGGUCAGGAGAUCAAGACCAUUCUGUGAAUGGUGAAACCCUGUCUCUACUAAAAAUACAAAAAAUUAGCCUGGCGUGGUGGCAGGUGCCUCUAGUCCCAGCUACUCGGGAGGCUGAGGCGGGAGAAUGGCGUGAACCCGGGAGGCAGAGCUUGCAGUGAGCCGAGAUCACGCCACUGCACUCUAGCCUGGGCGACAGAGCAAGACUCCAUCUCAAAAAAAAAAAAGAGAACAGUUUGGUGAUGGUAUGAAGUGCAUUCACAUUAUUGUGCAACCAUCACCAUGAUCCAUCUCCAGAACUCUUUUCACCUUGCAAAGCUGAAACUCUGUACCCACUGAAUACUGUAAUAUAUCUUCAAGAAAAUAACUUGCCAACAUUGUUUAUCUACCUAUUAUUUCUAAUACAUUAAUUGUGGUCACCACAAUCCACUUCUAUGUUAUGACACUUCAGCUGGAAAGGUUGCCCUGCCUUAUGCCAUUCAAGAUGUGUAGUAAAAUUGUGAAGACCCCCUAAGUUACCCACCCAUGCUGGACCAAACACCCAGGCACUGUCUUAAAAACAAAGGGGUAGAUUCGCAGAGCCUUUUGCCAACUGGUGCCAUGUUCAAAGUUCAGGCCCAGGGUUGGAUGGCCUCCCAUGGGGAAUGGAGUAUGGCUACUUUGAUUGAGAACUCUCCUCUGAGCAAGGGUCUUUAAACAAAGUCAGUUAAGUUAGAAAAACAAGCCAACUCUCCAUAUGUUGUGGCCCCAAAUGUGACAGAAAUAGAUUCAAUGCGUACAUUCAAUUUAUUCAUGCCUUAGAGACAGACCUAGGAAAAGGAUGCACAGUCUUGAAUACGGAUUCCCUAUCCUGGGAUUUUCCUUUCUGGGUCCCUCCACCCUCACUGCAAAUUAGGGGACAGGAGUAGGGGUCUCCCUCUAAUUUUUGCAUUCAUUUCUCAUCCGUUGCUCUCUUCGUGUCUUUCUCCCUGCCUUCCAUUUCUGAAAACAUGUAGGAAAUAUGUUCAUUACUGCACGUAAUUGUCCAG